CCCGGCCCUGCCACUGCCCACCCUUCGGGAAACGCCCCACCACAGACCCAGCCCCCAGGCUCGCCCUCACCGGGCGCCAGGGGAUGUUUGCUAUUUAACACAGAGAACAGGAAAUCAGGAGGCGCUCCCCAUCACCUCCCAGGUCAGACGCCAUCCACCCUCCUCAUCACCAACGCCCACGCAGGAUGACUUCACUACAGCUCUACGGACCGGCUUCCAUCACCAACGCCCAUGCAGGAUGACAUCACUACAGCUCUACGGACAGGCUUCCAUCACCAACGCCCAGGCAGGAUGGCAUCACUACAGCUCUAGGGAUGGCUUCCAUCACCAACGCCCACGCAGGAUGAUGACAUCACUACAGCUCUAGGACCGGCUUCCAUCACCAACGCCCACGCAGGAUGACUUCACUACAGCUCUACGGACCGGCUUCCAUCACCGACGCCCACGCAGGAUGAUGACAUCACUACAGCACUACGGACCGGCUUCCAUCACCAACGCCCACGCAGGAUGACAUAACUACAGCUCUACGGACCGGCUUCCAUCACCAACGCCCACGCAGGAUGACAUCACUACAGCUCUAGGGACUGGCUUCCAUCACCAACGCCCACGCAGGAUGACUUCACUACAGCUCUACGGACCGGCUUCCAUCACCAAGGCCCACGCAGGAUGACAUCACUACAGCUCUACGGACAGGCUUCCAUCACCAACGCCCAUGCAGGAUGAUGACAUCACUACAGCUCUAGGGACAGCUUCCAUCACCGACGCCCACGCAGGAUGAUGACAUGACUGCAGCUCUACGGACCGGCUUCCAUCACCGACGUCCACGCAGGAUGAUGACAUGACUGCAGCUCUACGGACCGGCUUCCAUCACCGACGUCCACGCAGGAUGAUGACAUCACUGCAGUUCUAGGACCGGCUUCCAUCACCGACGCCCACGCAGGAUGAUGACAUCACUGCAGUUCUAGGACCGGCUUCCAUCACCGACGCCCACGCAGGAUGAUGACAGCACUACAGUUCUACGGACCGGCUUCCAUCACCGACGCCCACGCAGGAUGAUGACAUCACUACAGCUCUACGGACCGGCUUCCAUCACCGACGCCCACGCAGGAUGAUGACAUCACUACAGCUCUACGGACCGGCUUCCAUCACCGACGUCCACGCAGGAUGAUGACAUCACUACAACUCUACGGACCGGCUUCCAUCACCGACGUCCACGCAGGAUGAUGACAUCACUACAGCUCUACGGACCGGCUUCCAUCACCGACGCCCACGCAGGAUGAUGACAUCACUACAGCUCUACAGACCGGCUUCCAUCACCGACGCCCACGCAGGAUGAUGACAUCACUGCAGCUCUACGGACCGGCUUCCAUCACCAACGCCCACGCAGGAUGACAUCACUGCAGUUCUACGGACCGGCUUCCAUCACAGACGCCCACGCAGGAUGAUGACAUCACUGCAGUUCUACGGACCGGCUUCCAUCACCGACAUCCACGCAGGAUGAUGACAUCACUACAGCUCUAGGACCGGCUUCCAUCACCAAUGUCCACGCAGGAUGAUGACAUCACUACAGCUCUAUGGACCGGCUUCCAUCACCGACGCUCACGCAGGAUGAUGACAUCACUACAGCUCUACGGACCGGCUUCCAUCACCGACGCCCAUGCAGGAUGACAUCACUACAGCUCUACGGACCGGCUUCCAUCACCAACGCCCACGCAGGAUGAUGACAUCACUAUAGCUCUAGGACCGGCUUCCAUCACCGACGCCCACGCAGCAUGACAUCGCUACGGCUCUACCGACCAGCUUCCAUCACCCACACGCCUUUUUCAUUUUGUUUUGUUUUCUAGAGACCAGGUCUUGCUACAUUGCCCAGGCUGGCCCUGAACUCCUGAGCUCAAGGGAUCCUCCCACCUCGGCCCCCCUAGAAGCUGGGACCACAGGCCUGUGCUUAUUCAAAAACAGACAAAAAGGAAGCCCAUCGUUCCUGCUACGGGAAUGCUGCCAGUGUCACAUGCUGCCCAUCUUCUCAUCCAGAGAGCCACACUAUGUUUCCUUCAGAAUUCAACUGAGACCAAAACAAGAAAACCACAGCACAACGCUUACCCAGCAAAAAUAUGAAAACACCAGGCUUCUGGGUUAAGCCAGAAACAAAAAAGUAGUUCUGCUUUGGAAAAUGUGAAUUAUAUGGUCAUAUUAAAGAUGAUCACCUCUAUCAUACAACACUGGCUCAAAAGUCCUAGCCGUUGCUAGAAGAAAAACAAAGACGGCAUGAACACGAAGUGGAGACACACCUGCCAUUCUCUGCAGACCUUUUCGCUUACUUAAAAAACCCGAUACAAGAGAAUCAAUUGACAAUAGAAUUAG
rnacentral:lncRNA from 10 species